rnacentral:rRNA from 1 species
ACACAUGCAAGUCGAGCGGUAGCACAGAGAGCUUGCUCUCGGGUGACGAGCGGCGGACGGGUGAGUAAUGUCUGGGAAACUGCCUGAUGGAGGGGGAUAACUACUGGAAACGGUAGCUAAUACCGCAUAACGUCGCAAGACCAAAGUGGGGGACCUUCGGGCCUCAUGCCAUCAGAUGUGCCCAGAUGGGAUUAGCUAGUAGGUGGGGUAACGGCUCACCUAGGCGACGAUCCCUAGCUGGUCUGAGAGGAUGACCAGCCACACUGGAACUGAGACACGGUCCAGACUCCUACGGGAGGCAGCAGUGGGGAAUAUUGCACAAUGGGCGCAAGCCUGAUGCAGCCAUGCCGCGUGUGUGAAGAAGGCCUUCGGGUUGUAAAGCACUUUCAGCGGGGAGGAAGGCGAUAAGGUUAAUAACCUUGUCGAUUGACGUUACCCGCAGAAGAAGCACCGGCUAACUCCGUGCCAGCAGCCGCGGUAAUACGGAGGGUGCAAGCGUUAAUCGGAAUUACUGGGCGUAAAGCGCACGCAGGCGGUCUGUCAAGUCGGAUGUGAAAUCCCCGGGCUCAACCUGGGAACUGCAUUCGAAACUGGCAGGCUAGAGUCUUGUAGAGGGGGGUAGAAUUCCAGGUGUAGCGGUGAAAUGCGUAGAGAUCUGGAGGAAUACCGGUGGCGAAGGCGGCCCCCUGGACAAAGACUGACGCUCAGGUGCGAAAGCGUGGGGAGCAAACAGGAUUAGAUACCCUGGUAGUCCACGCCGUAAACGAUGUCGAUUUGGAGGUUGUGCCCUUGAGGCGUGGCUUCCGGAGCUAACGCGUUAAAUCGACCGCCUGGGGAGUACGGCCGCAAGGUUAAAACUCAAAUGAAUUGACGGGGGCCCGCACAAGCGGUGGAGCAUGUGGUUUAAUUCGAUGCAACGCGAAGAACCUUACCUGGUCUUGACAUCCACAGAACUUUCCAGAGAUGGAUUGGUGCCUUCGGGAACUGUGAGACAGGUGCUGCAUGGCUGUCGUCAGCUCGUGUUGUGAAAUGUUGGGUUAAGUCCCGCAACGAGCGCAACCCUUAUCCUUUGUUGCCAGCGGUUAGGCCGGGAACUCAAAGGAGACUGCCAGUGAUAAACUGGAGGAAGGUGGGGAUGACGUCAAGUCAUCAUGGCCCUUACGACCAGGGCUACACACGUGCUACAAUGGCAUAUACAAAGAGAAGCGACCUCGCGAGAGCAAGCGGACCUCAUAAAGUAUGUCGUAGUCCGGAUUGGAGUCUGCAACUCGACUCCAUGAAGUCGGAAUCGCUAGUAAUCGUAGAUCAGAAUGCUACGGUGAAUACGUUCCCGGGCCUUGUACACACCGCCCGUCACACCAUGGGAGUGGGUUGCAAAAGAAGUAGGUAGCUUAACCUUCGGGAGGGCGCUUACCACUUUGUGAUUCAUGACUGGGGUGAAGUCGUAACAAG